rnacentral:rRNA from 1 species
CACGUAGGGUGCGAGCGUUGUCCGGAAUUAUUGGGCGUAAAGAGCUCGUAGGCGGUGUGUCGCGUCGGCCGUGAAAACCUGUGGCUUAACUAUGGGCUUGCGGUCGAUACGGGCAUCACUGGAGUUCGGCAGGGGAGACUGGAAUUCCUGGUGUAGCGGUGAAAGUGCGCAGAUAUCAGGAGGAACACCGGUGGGCGAAGGCGGGUCUCUGGG